AGCGUAGGCGGACUUUUAAGUGAGAUGUGAAAUACCCGGGCUCAACUUGGGUGCUGCAUUUCAAACUGGAAGUCUAGAGUGUAGGAGAGGAGAAUGGAAUUCCUAGUGUAGCGGUGAAAUGCGUAGAGAUUAGGAAGAACACCAGUGGCGAAGGCGAUUCUCUGGACUGUAACUGACGCUGAGGCUCGAAAGCGUGGGAGCAAACA
rnacentral:rRNA from 1 species